CAGUAGCGUAUAUUAAAGUUGUUGCAGUUAAAAAGCUCGUAGUUGGAUUUCUGGUGUGGGAUGCCUGGCCCGCCGCGAUACGCGUGUGAGUGCUGGCGCGUCCCCGCCAUCCUUUCAGAGACCGUUUCUGCCCUUGAUUGGGUUGGAGGCGUGGAUCUGGAUCUUUUACUUUGAAAAAAUUAGAGUGUUCAAGGCAGGCUCGCGCUGUGAAUACAUUAGCAUGGAAUAAUGACAUAGGACUCCGGUUCUAUUUUGUUGGUUUCUAGGACUGAAGUAAUGAUUGAUAGGGAUAGUUGGGGGUGCUCGUAUUUAGCGGCCAGAGGUGAAAUUCUUGGAUUCGCUAAAGACGGACUUAUGCGAAAGCAUUCACCAAGGAUGUCUUCUUUAA
rnacentral:rRNA from 1 species